rnacentral:rRNA from 1 species
UACGGAGGAUGCAAGCGUUAUCCGGAAUGAUUGGGCGUAAAGCGUCCGCAGGUGGCAAUGUAAGUCUGCUGUUAAAGAGUCUAGCUCAACUAGAUAAGAGCAGUGGAAACUACAUAGCUAGAGUACGUUCGGGGCAGAGGGAAUUCCUGGUGUAGCGGUGAAAUGCGUAGAGAUCAGGAAGAACACCAGUGGCGAAGGCGCUCUGCUAGGCCGUAACUGACACUGAGGGACGAAAGCGAGGGGAGCGAAUGGG